AGCUUUGCACAGUGGCAGUAUCAUAGCUAAUGAAAUGUAUUCACAGUAUGAUUAUUGCUAAUUGAAAACUUUUCCUCGUACCCUGCCAUGAUGACUUGAAAUAUAGUCAGCACUGGCAAUUUUUAAUAGUCUCUAGGAAGA
ensembl:snRNA U4 U4 spliceosomal RNA